AUAGGAUAUAGAGGUUGCAACCAACAAAAUUAGUCUAAAGGAGCUGACAGGUUAGGAUUUUAGACGAAAGGGGCGGUUGCCGAAAUGAUGAGUGUGGUAAUAUUCAUUGUUGGUGUGUACAUUAAUAGUGUGCGGACUGUCGCGGCAAAAUAGUCGGCUGCGGAGAGCUAUCGACAAU
rfam:Weissella paramesenteroides ATCC 33313 genomic scaffold SCAFFOLD3, whole genome shotgun sequence.